rnacentral:tRNA from 6 species
AGGGGUAUAGCCAAGUGGUAAGGCAGCGGGUUUUGAUCCCGCCAUUUCCCUGGUUCGAGUCCAGGUACCCCUGCCA